CCACUUCGGUGGGGAUUAGUGGCGAACGGGUGAGUAACACGUGGGCAAUCUGCCCUUCACUCUGGGACAAGCCCUGGAAACGGGGUCUAAUACCGGAUAACACUUCUGCUCUCAUGGGCAGGGGUUAAAAGCUCCGGCGGUGAAGGAUGAGCCCGCGGCCUAUCAGCUUGUUGGUGAGGUAAUGGCUCACCAAGGCGACGACGGGUAGCCGGCCUGAGAGGGCGACCGGCCACACUGGGACUGAGACACGGCCCAGACUCCUACGGGAGGCAGCAGUGGGGAAUAUUGCACAAUGGGCGAAAGCCUGAUGCAGCGACGCCGCGUGAGGGAUGACGGCCUUCGGGUUGUAAACCUCUUUCAGCAGGGAAGAAGCGAAAGUGACGGUACCUGCAGAAGAAGCGCCGGCUAACUACGUGCCAGCAGCCGCGGUAAUACGUAGGGCGCAAGCGUUGUCCGGAAUUAUUGGGCGUAAAGAGCUCGUAG
rnacentral:rRNA from 1 species